rnacentral:sRNA from 1 species
GCUUAGCCCCGAUUGCAGCCGGUAUCCUUUUUUUGGCGAGGAACGAGGCGGAAAAGAUAAAGGCGGAAAGCGGGACGAAAC